AGAGCGCGCAGAGCAAGGCCGCCGCCAGCUCUCCCAGGAACCGUCGCGAGGCGUCCCCUCGGCGGCCGCCUCAGUUUCCCUGGCCGUAAAACGCGGGCGAUGGCGCUCGAUGCCCCGGGAGACGCCGGGGUCCGCGGGCCCUUCCGGCACCGGGUCCUCCUUCAGGUUCGGGCACCCGGCUGCCUCCACGCGGGGCGAGCGCGGCGAUGGGAUCGGUCCGUGCUGCGCUCAGCCCCGCUUUCGCUAUCCCUCUGCUCCAGGGGCAGCAAAAUCAGCAGAUGAGCCCCCAGCGCGCCUGCGGCCCACACACUGCGGCCGUAACAGUUAAACAGACGGGGAACAUUCAUGUGCGUAGAGCUCUUCACGGGGCGAUACAGAAAUGUGUCGUUCUAAAGCGUUAACGACCUGCAAUUUGCAUAUCCUCCAACACAUGGAUUUUACUGAUUCAAUUAUGGAUGUGUGCAAAGAAUCUGCUGCUCGCUAUAUGGGAACACUUUCAGUUUCCCAAGUUAAAACAUGAAAUUGCACAUCAUCAUUUGGAUCCCCAAAGAGGAAAAGAAAAAUUCACAACCUGCCAGUGAAAUACUCAGGCCACUUGGAUGAAGACCGAGGUCCUCCAUAGAAUCCAGGUGUUAUUUACUAACUAAUCAGAAAUUAAUAUCAAAAUAGGACUUAAAAAUAACAAGGCUGUGUUAUUACAGCAGUCUUUCCAGUUGUGUACGCUUUACUAAUCUAAAUUGGGUAACAGAACUGGAGAAAAGGAAGACUACACAGACUUAUCAUAAGCUGUUAGUGAACGUGAUAGAAAUGCGUAAUUUGUUAAAGCGAAUUACAGCUCUGAUUUGUCAAAUGAGGAGGUGAAUUAUCCUAGGAUUUGCUAUGCUGUUGUGGCGUUAGAAGAUUGGAUCUUUAGCAGCAAAGGUAACCUCAACAAUAUUUUCUGCUUAAGAAAGUGCCUUGGUUAAGGUAGACCGUGAUAUCGUCUUUGACUAAGCUCUCUGGGCUAUUGAUUCUGUCAUAUUCCAAAGGCAGUAUUGGUUUGAAGCCGAAUCUCACGGUCAAUGUCAACAUGCAAUCCACAAAGACCCUGGCGCCCUUCCACGGUAUGCACUAACCAAAACUUUCUCACUGUGAAAUCCUUUUUUUAAAAACAAGAAAACAAAAAACAAAAACCAAAAAACCUUACUGUGAAUCCUUUCCCAAGGAAUGGUCCCACCUUCACCUCGGAAAGAGGCGUGGCUUGCUCUGUAAGCAGGUCCACCCUGAGGAGACCGCUGGUGCAAGAGCCCUGCUUGCAGAACACACAGGGGGUUUUCCCACAUUCUUACUGGAGUCAGAUUCGGCAAAGCAUUUCAAGCAACUGCUGGACACUUCAAAUACCACUCCCUGUUAACAACGCCCUGAGUAUCUCACUGUCUCCAGGAUCUGGUUUAAAGGGAAACACAGAAAUGGCCAACAGCUCCCUCCCCAGGCAGGACUGCGAUUUCACAGACAACCUAUAGGCAUCCCCAGUCUGGUGAAUAAACAGGAGAGUGAGAGGAAAACAGCAAUCAUUCAACUCCAGUAGAUGUAAAGCCUCCAGAAGAAUGUGUCCCGGGAAGGUCAGAAAUGUCAUUUUUUUCCUCCAGCACAUUUCAUCUGCCACAUUCCGCCGUCCGAUGUUUGAGGAAGGAGCCCCGCCUUUCCUUCAGGGGUUCUUGUCGCCAAGUUUGAUGGUGACAGUUUUCACUUCUGUGUAUUCGGCCAAAGCGUAUUCACCUCUGUGAUCACAGAAAAGAGGAAAAUUCAAAAUGGGUACAUCCCUUAGCCAUUGUGUAGAAACUGUUCUGAGGCUUCAUCAUUCCAUCAGGCCGUUGGAGGCUUAUGCAAAAGGUUAAAAUGUGACGACCUCAUGGAAUAAUAGCCAGGACUAUAACAGCACUAGUAAGUGUCAGUAGCUGCAUAUGUGACUUAAAUGUAAAUAUCAAGGUCUUCUUCUGUGUGAUGCUUUUGAAAUGGCCAGGACUAAGGGUUUCCCUUUAGAGAAUGAAGGGGAUUUUAAAAAAAGUAAAGAGGUGAAUUCCCUGGGGUGGCAAUAGAGAGCAAAACGAGAGAGCCUGGUGGACGGUGGGGUGUCUGUGAACGAGGGAGGGGCAGAAAUUACACUGGGUUGAUAACUUUUAGAUGGCAAUUGGGAGCUGCUUGAAGAGGAGACAGAAGAGGCAGAGGCCCAAAGCUAUUGGCUGGGGAUGUGGCCAGAGGACCAGUGGGAAGAACACCAAGGGCCUGAAGCUGGCCUCAGAGUGCACAGCUGGGGACCAGCUGUCAGGCAGUGAGGCCAGCCUAGGGGGCAUGAGAGAAGCAGACGUUAGCACAGAGUGGACAUGGGGAGGCCACAGCUUUUGGGUUCACAUCCUUGGUAUAGUUCCUUUCUUUAAAUCUUGCAGGGCUCAGGUGAUCCUUCCCUGGCACCAUGGGCCGUCUUCAGGGUAGCUUCCCUUCCAAGACCCAAGAGGCAGCUUUGGAGAGAUUUAAAUCCUUCUAAGCGCUUGAUCUGCUGUCAGGUGAAGAAAAAUGUGUGCUUGUUUAGGAAGAGAUGAAGGUAGAGGUGGCCACUGGAGUCUCUGUAGUUAAAAAGACCUGUGACAGAAUCCCAUCUCCUCCCUUAGAUCAAUGGUUCUCAAAGUGUGGUCCCCAGACCAGCAGCAUCAGCCUCACCUCUGAACUUGCUAGAAAUGUAGAUUCUCAGGCCUCCCCCAGCCCUACUAUCGUAGGCAGAAUAAGGAUCUCCCCAGGUAUCCAAAAUUGGAUCCCCCAAACCUGUGAAUAUGUUGGGCUACAGAGUGAAGAAUUAAUGUUGCAGAUGGAAUUCAAGUUACUAAUCAAUUGACUUUAAAAGAGGGAGACUCUCCUGGAUCAUCCAGGCAGACCCAGUGUAAUCACAAGGGUCCCCAAAACUGGCAGAAGAAGAGAGGCAGAGCAAAAUGAGAUUAUAGAAACAGGUUCAGAGAGCAGCAGUGCUGGCUUUGAAGAUGGAGGAUGGGGCCACCAGCCUAGGAAUGCGAGCAGCCUCUAGAGGAUGGAAAAGGCAAGGAAGUAGAUUCUCUCCUGAGAACCUCCAAAAAGGAAUGAAGCCCUUGAUUUUAGCUCAGGGAGACCUGUGUCAGAUUUUUAUCCUACAGAACUAUAAGAUAAUAGAUUUAUGUUAUUUAAGCCACUGAUGUUAUGGUAACUUCUUGCAGGAGCAAUAAAAGACUAAUAAACUUACUGAAUCAGAAAAAAAAAAAAAAAAAAAA
rnacentral:lncRNA from 1 species